rnacentral:rRNA from 1 species
GAUGAACGCUGGCGGCGUGCCUAAUACAUGCAAGUCGAGCGAACAGACGAGGAGCUUGCUCCUCUGACGUUAGCGGCGGGCGGGUGAGUAACACGUGGAUAACCUACCUAUAAGACUGGGAUAACUUCGGGAAACCGGAGCUAAUACCGGAUAAUAUAUUGAACCGCAUGGUUCAAUAGUGAAAGACGGUUUUGCUGUCACUUAUAGAUGGAUCCGCGCCGCAUUAGCUAGUUGGUAAGGUAACGGCUUACCAAGGCGACGAGGCGUAGCCGACCUGAGAGGGGGAUCGGCCACACUGGAGCUGAGACACGGUCCAGACUCCUACGGGAGGCAGCAGUAGGGAAUCUUCCGCAGUGGGCGAAAGCAUGACGGAGCAACGCCGCGUGAGUGAUGAAGGUCUUCGGAGCGUAAAACUCUGUUAUGAGGGAAGAACAAAUGUGUAAGUAACUAUGCACGUCUUGACGGUACCUAAUCAGAAAGCCACGGCUAACUACGUG